GUCACCGGAGGUCGAGGUGAGUUUCCCUCCUCUUCCUCUCUUCUUUCCCCUUCCUCCCGUGCAUUUGUGCGCAGCUGCUGGCGACGGGAGUCGCUGAUUUUUGAUCGGAAAAGAGAUCUCUAUUUCGAUCUCUUUUUCCUUAGAUUUUCUGGCGCCGGCGAUCGCAAUCGACCGCCAGUCAUGCUCCUCCAUAAUCAGGGGAGUGGCCCCCCUCUGCCGUCGGCCUCCGCUGCGAUGGUCGCGACCUGAACGGCCCGGCACAAGGAGGGGACUGCCGUCCCCUGUUCGGCCUGGAAGGAGCCCGAGAGAAAAAGA
rnacentral:lncRNA from 1 species